rnacentral:rRNA from 1 species
UGAAAUGAAUCAAACUUGAAUUCGUCGGUUAAUUAAGUUAAAGUGAAAGCCCACAGCUUAACUGUGGAACAGCUUCUAAAACUGAUUAACUAGAGUCUGGGAGAGGAAGAUGGAAUUAGUAGUGUAGGGGUAAAAUCCGUAGAGAUUACUAGGAAUACCGAAAGCGAAGGCGAUCUUCUGGAACAGUACUGACGCUGAGAUGCGAAAGCGUGGGGAGCAAACAGGAUUAGAUACCCUGGUAGUCCACGCCCUAAACGAUGAAUGUUAGUCGUUGGAGUGCUAGCCACUUCAGUGAUGCAGCUAACGCAUUAAACAUUCCGCCUGGGGAGUACGGCCGCAAGGUUAAAACUCAAAGGAAUAGACGGGGACCCGCACAAGUGGUGGAGCAUGUGGUUUAAUUCGAAGAUACGCGAAGAACCUUACCUGGCCUUGACAUAUACCAGAACCUACCAGAGAUGGUGGGGUGCCUUUGGGAACUGGUAUACAGGUGCUGCACGGCUGUCGUCAGCUCGUGUCGUGAGAUGUUGGGUUAAGUCCCGCAACGAGCGCAACCCUCGUGACUAGUUACUAACAGCAUAGGCUGAGGACUCUAGUCAGACUGCCUUCGUAAGGAGGAGGAAGGUGGGGACGACGUCAAGUCAUCAUGGCCCUUACGGCCAGGGCGACACACGUGCUACAAUGGGGAGGACAAUGAGAAGCGAAAUCGCGAGAUGGAGCAAAUCUAUAAACCCUCUCUCAGUCGGAUUGGAACCUGCAACCUCGACCUACCAAUGAAAGCUGGGAAAUCACUAGUAAUCGGGAAUAAGCCCAUGUCACCGGGAUACCGUUCCCGGGCUUUGACCUAACCGGCCCGGACACCAUGGGAGGUGAUUAACCCCAAAGCCGGGAUGCUUAAAAGGGACCGCACCGGGGAAUUCGAACGGGGAAACAAAAGGGACCCGGAAACCGGGG